AUAAUUGUGGCCGAGUGGUUAAGGCGAUGGACUCCAUUGAGGUCUCCCCGCAGAGGUUCGAAUCCUGUCGACUGUG
rnacentral:tRNA from 1 species